rnacentral:rRNA from 1 species
AAUCAACGCUGGCGGCGUGCCUAACACAUGCAAGUCGAACGCGAAAGCCCCGCAAGGGGCAAGUAGAGUGGCAAACGGGUGAGUAACACGUGGGUGACCUGCCUUAGAGUGGGGGAUAACGUCCCGAAAGGGACGCUAAUACCGCAUAACAUCCUGCCUUUGAAGAGGUGGAGAUCAAAGCCGGGGACCGCAAGGCCUGGCGCUCAAAGAGGGGCCCGCGCCUGAUUAGCUAGUUGGUGAGGUAAUGGCUCACCAAGGCAACGAUCAGUAUCCGGCCUGAGAGGGCGGACGGACACACUGGGACUGAGACACGGCCCAGACUCCUACGGGAGGCAGCAGUGGGGAAUUGUUCGCAAUGGGCGCAAGCCUGACGACGCAACGCCGCGUGGAGGAUGAAGACCU